CAAUAAAAACAAACAAGGGCAUACGGGGAAUGCCUAGGCUCUGCAAGGCGAAGAAGGACGUGAUAAGCUGCGAAAAGCCGCGGGGAGGUGCAAAUAACCGAUAAUCCGCGGAUAUCCGAAUGGGGCAACCCACCAUAUAAAUGGUACCUCGAAACGAGGAGCGAACCCUCUGAACUGAAACAUCUAAGUAAGAGGAGGAAGAGAAAACAACAGUGAUACCGCAAGUAGUGGCGAGCGAACGCGGCACAGCCCAAACCGGACACGUUUAGGCGUAUCCGGGGUAGUAGGACUGCGAGAUACAAGUAUAAAAAGAACCGGAACGGCAUGGAAAGGCCGUCCGUAGAAGGUGAAAGACCUGUACGGGCAAUUUUUAUACGCGUUAGCAGUAUCCUGAGUAGGUCGGGGCACGAGAAACCCAGACUGAAACCGGCGGGACCACCCGCCAAGGCUAAACACUCAGCAGAGACCGAUAGUGAACAAGUACCGUGAGGGAAAGGUGAAAAGAACCUUGAAUAAAGGAGUGAAAAAGACCCUGAAACCGUAUGCCUACAAGCGGUCGGAGCCCAUUUAUUGGGUGACGGCGUGCCUUUUGCAUAAUGAUCCUACGAGUUACUGUUACCGGCAAGGUUAAGCGCUUCAGGCGCGUAAGCCGCAGCGAAAGCGAGUCUUAAAAGGGCGAAUUAGUCGGUAGUAGUAGACGCGAAACCUUGUGAUCUACCCAUGGCCAGGUUGAAGUGGGGGUAACACCCCAUGGAGGACCGAAUCGGUAAGCGUUGAAAAGCUUUCGAAUGAGCUGUGGGUAGGGGUGAAAGGCCAAUCAAACUGGGAAAUAGCUCGUACUCCCCGAAAUGCAUUUAGGUGCAGCGUCGCGGUUAAGUGAUAUAUAGGUAGAGCUACUGAUUGAAUGCGGGGGCUUCACCGCCUACCAAUUUCAGACAAACUCCGAAUAGUAUAUCACAUACGCGGCAGUGAGGGCAUGGGUGCUAAGGUCCAUGCCCGAGAGGGAAACAACCCGGACCAACAGCUAAGGUCCCCAAAUAUACGCUAAGUUGAAAAAACGAAGUAGAACUGCACAGACAGCCAGGAAGUUGGCUUGGAAGCAGCCAUUCUUUUAAAGAGUGCGUAACAGCUCACUGGUCGAGCGGUUCUGCAUGGAGAAUAAGCGGGCAUAAGCGUAUUACCGAAGCUAUGGCAGAUAACAAUCUGGGUAGGGGAGCAUUCCGUACAGCGCAGAAUCGGUAUUGUAAAGUACCGUGGAGCGUACGGAAAAGCAAAUGUAGGAAUAAGUAACGAUAAAGCGGGCGAGAAACCCGCUCACCGAAAGACCAAGGGUUCCCCGGCUAUGUUAAUCAGCCGGGGGUCAGUCGGGCCCUAAGGACAAGCCGAAAACAGGCUACUCCGAUGGACAAACGUUUAAUAUUACGUUACUCGUAUCGAGUGCGACGGGGCGACCUGGUAAUACCUCUUCGCGUGCUGACGGAAUAGCACGUUAAAGACUUUACUGGGCCGGGAGGCAAAUCCCCCGGCGGAAAGGUAAAGUUGAUAGUACACCCAAGCUACGGCGACGGUGAUAGCAAGACUAAAGAUCAGCAAGAAAAACCUCUAAGCUUCAGCUCGAUACGACCCGUACCGGAAACCGACACAGGUGGUCGAGAAGAGAAUUCUAAGGUGCUCGAGAGAUUCAUGGCUAAGGAACUAGGCAAAAUAGACCUGUAACUUCGGGAAAAAGGUCACCGCAGCAAUGCGGUCUCAGAAAAUAGGUCCAGGCGACUGUUUAACAAAAACACAGGACUUUGCAAAAUCGAAAGAUGACGUAUAAGGUCUGACACCUGCCCGGUGCUGGAAGGUUAAGAGGAGAUGUCCGCAGCAAUGCAAAGCAUUGAAUUGAAGCCCCAGUAAACGGCGGCCGUAACUAUAACGGUCCUAAGGUAGCGAAAUUCCUUGUCGGGUAAGUUCC
rnacentral:rRNA from 1 species